rfam:Danio rerio chromosome 4, GRCz11 reference primary assembly.
GACGAGGUGGCCGAGUGGUUAAGGCUAUGGACUGCUAAUCCAUUGUGCUCUGCACGCGUGGGUGCGAAUCCCAUCCUUGUCG